rnacentral:rRNA from 1 species
GACGAACGCUGGCGGCGUGCUUAACACAUGCAAGUCGAACGGUGAAGGGGUCUGCUUUUGUGGGCCCUGGAUGAGUGGCGAACGGGUGAGUAACACGUGAGUAACCUGCCCCCUUCUUCUGGAUAACCGCAUGAAAGUGUGGCUAAUACGGGAUAUUCUGGGUCUGUCGCAUGAUGGGUCUGGGAAAGAUUGCGCCUUUGGGUGUUUUUGGUGGGGGAUGGGCUCGCGGCCUAUCAGCUUGUUGGUGGGGUGAUGGCCUACCAAGGCGGUGACGGGUAGCCGGCCUGAGAGGGUGGACGGUCACACGGGGACUGAGACACGGGCCAGACGCCUACGGGAGGCAGCAGUGGGGAAGAGUGCACAAUGGGCGCAAGCCUGAUGCAGCGACGCCGCGUGAGGGAUGGAGGCCUUCGGGUUGUAAACCUCUUUCGCCAGUGAAGCAGGCCUGCUCCUUGUGGGUGGGUUGACGGUAGCUGGAUAAGAAGCGCCGGCUAACUACGUG